GCAUAUCAAUAAGCGGAGGAAAAGAAACCAACAGGGAUUGCCUCAGUAACGGCGAGUGAAGCGGCAUCAGCUCAAAUUUGAAAUCUGGCCUCACGGUCCGAGUUGUAAUUUGUAGAGAAUGCUUCGGGCGAGGUCCGGUCUAAGUUCCUUGGAACAGGACGUCAUAGAGGGUGAGAAUCCCGUAUGCGACCGGUCGCCUCCGCCCAUGUGAAGCUUCUUCGACGAGUCGAGUUGUUUGGGAAUGCAGCUCAAAAUGGGUGGUAUAUUUCAUCUAAAGCUAAAUACUGGCCAGAGACCGAUAGCGCACAAGUAGAGUGAUCGAAAGAUGAAAAGCACUUUGGAAAGAGAGUUAAACAGUACGUGAAAUUGUUGAAAGGGAAGCGCUUGCAACCAGACUUGCGCGCAGCUGAUCAUCCGGUGUUCUCACCGGUGCACUCGGUUGCGCUCAGGCCAGCAUCGGUUCUGGCGGCUGGAUAAAGGCCUUGGGAAUGUAGCUCCCCUCGGGGAGUGUUAUAGCCCUCGGUGCAAUGCAGCCUGUCGGGACCGAGGACCGCGCUUCGGCUAGGAUGCUGGCGUAAUGGUUGUAAGCGACCCGUCUUGAAACACGGACCAAGGAGUCUAACAUCUAUGCGAGUGUUUGGGCGUCAAACCCAUACGCGUAAUGAAAGUGAACGGAGGUGAGAACCCUUAAGGGUGCAUCAUCGACCGAUCCUGAUGUCUUCGGAUGGAUUUGAGUAAGAGCAUAGCUGUUGGGACCCGAAAGAUGGUGAACUAUGCCUGAAUAGGGUGAAGCCAGAGGAAACUCUGGUGGAGGCUCGCAGCGGUUCUGACGUGCAAAUCGAUCGUCAAAUUUGGGUAUAGGGGCGAAAGACUAAUCGAACCAUUGCUAGGUGGUUGAGUGGGACGGAUACGUCCCCAGCCGCUACGUGCGGCGACUCGGUCAAACUGCUCGGGCACACGUUCUUCGUGUGACGAGAAGCAGCUCCUCGGAGCUGUUCACAGGUCAAGCGACUGGGGCCCUCUUGGAGGGUUAUGAAAUGAUCGGUCCGCUGCCGCGAGGCGACGGAGCAAACGCUAGUAGC
rnacentral:rRNA from 1 species